AUGCACAACUUCCUUUGGAAUGGGGAUGACGAGUGUAGCGGAGCCAAAUGUUUAGUAAACUGGAAGAGGGUGUGCUUCCCUAAGGAUCUGGGUGGCCUCGGAAUAAAAAAUAUUGUCUGUUUUGGUAGGGCACUACGGCUGCGAUGGGCUUGGCUUGAAUGGAGCCCCACCCCUAGGCCUUGGCUGGGCACUCCCAUCCCUUGUGACCACACUGAUAGGUUGCUAUUCUCGGCUUGCACUAACAUCUCUCUGGGAAAUGGGAAGAGCGCACAUUUCUGGCAUGAUCGUUGGUUGGAUGGUAUGGCUCCGGUCAAUAUUGCUCCUGGCCUAUUUGGUUUGACGCGGAGGAAAACUUUGAUUGUGCAGGAGGCUUUGGACCGUGGCCGCUGGAUGAAGGGCCUGGAGAGGAUUUCCUCUGAGGAGCUUCUCGACCAGUUUGUCAGGCUGUGGGAGAUGCUCCAACCCAUUGUGCUCUCGGAUAUCCCAGAUUCUAUUCCGUGGAAGUUCUCUGCUGACGGCUACUACUCCGCUGCCUCCGCCUACAAGGCUUAGUUCUUGGGCCGCAUUGCGGAACCGCAACUACACGCUGUUUGGAAGAGCAAGGCCGAGCCGAAGAUCAAAUUUCACCUUUGGUUACUACUCCAAAACAAAAUCUGGACAGCGGAUCGGCUUGCGACGAGGGGAUGGCCACACAACGAGAAGUGCACGUUCUGCGAUCAGAUCAUCGAAUCGGCUGCUCAUCUUACUUUGACUUGCCCUUUUGCCCGGGAGGUUUGGUUUUCCUUCCUGCAAAGUGACCCCAACCUCAAUGACGAUCAAGGGCUGGUGGAGGAAGGUCUGGAAGCUGCGCAGCAAUCCAACUAG
rnacentral:rRNA from 1 species